rnacentral:rRNA from 1 species
CGUAGGGUGCGAGCGUUAAUCGGAAUUACUGGGCGUAAAGCGUGCGCAGGCGGUUUUGUAAGACAGAUGUGAAAUCCCCGGGCUCAACCUGGGACCUGCAUUUGUGACUGCAAGGCUAGAGUACGGUAGAGGGGGAUGGAAUUCCGCGUGUAGCAGUGAAAUGCGUAGAUAUGCGGAGGAACACCGAUGGCGAAGGCAAUCCCCUGGACCUGUACUGACGCUCAUGCACGAAAGCGUGGGGAGCAAACAGGAUUAGAUACCCUGGUAGUCCACGCCCCAAACGAUGUCAACUGGUUGUUGGGUCUUUACUGACUCAGUAACGAAGCUAACGCGUGAAGUUGACCGCCUGGGGAGUACGGCCGCAAGGUUG